rfam:Halogeometricum pallidum JCM 14848 contig_4, whole genome shotgun sequence.
GGGCCCGUAGCUCAGCGGCAGAGCACCUCCUUUGCAAGGAGGAAGCCCUGGGUUCAAAUCCCAGCGGGUCCA